GACGAACGCUGGCGGCGUGCCUAAUACAUGCAAGUCGAGCGAAGUUUUUCUGGUGCUUGCACUAGAAAAACUUAGCGGCGCACGGGUGAGUAACACGUAACGAACCUGCCUCAUAGACUGGGACAACUAUUGGAAACGAUAGCUAAUACCGGAUAACAGUAUUUCUCGCAUGAGAGAUAUUUAAAAGUUGGUUAUGCUAACACUAUGAGAUGGCUUUUCGGUGCAUUAGCUAGUUGGUGGGGUAAAGGCCCACCAAGGCGACGAUGCAUAGCCGACCUGAGAGGGUGAUCGGCCACACUGGGACUGAGACACGGCCCAGACUCCUACGGGAGGCAGCAGUAGGGAAUCUUCCGCAAUGGGCGAAAGCCUGACGGAGCAACGCCGCGUGAGUGAAGAAGGAUUUCGGUUCGUAAAGCUCUGUUGUUAGGGAAGAAUGGAUAUGUAGUAACUAUACAUGUAAGAGACGGUACCUAACCAGAAAGCCACGGCUAACUACGUG
rnacentral:rRNA from 1 species